GUGGCUGUACCAAUUUAUGUUCCUACCACAUAUUCUAAAAUUGUUAUUAUACAGAGAAGAUUAGCAUAGCCCCUGCACA
ensembl:snRNA U6 U6 spliceosomal RNA